UUCGCGCUUAGUUUGAGAAAAUUCUUAUUUGAACUCUGUUUCUUCUGAACUCACUAAUUUCUUGAAAUUUCUGUACUGCUUUUGAAAGAAAAAUUUUCGAAUUGGUUCAUAUUUAUUUUGCUUCAUUUUCUUAUCUAAAGUUAUAACUGUGGGAGCAAAAUAUGGAUUCUUGUAGAAAGAGGCAUCGUGUAGCUGAUUCUAAGUACAGAUGCAAGGUUCAGCAGUUAUAUGGCUUGUUGAAAGAAGAAACACAUAGCCCAUAUCCUAAAGAUUUAGCAUUAGUUAAUGUUCAGAAGCAAAUUAGAAGUUUGGAAGAAAAACUUUUUAGUGAUCAUGGUUUAGGUAAUAAUGCAUAUAAAAAAGAAUUCCUAGAAAUACUUUGCCAAGAAGAAAUCAUAUGGAACAAUGUGAAAGAUGUGCAGAAAUGGUGGCUUCAGGUGCAAGAUUUGAUUACUAAGAUUGGCAGCCAUCAAAAUCCUGGUGCUCUACCUGCAGUUUACAAUAUAUGUCAUGAAAAGCCUGUUGAAAGUGCUAAUAUUAAUUAUUUUGUUGUUUCUGCUGAUCAAAAUGGUGAAAUUAAUGAUCUGUUGUCUCCUAGUAAAUGGACGAGAAAGUCAAAAUUCCGUUUUGCUGUCAAAAGUGUCCAGCACCAUAAAAGAAAUUCAAGAACAAGUGAAUGCCACAGUUCCACUGGAAAAUGUCCUACAGUCACUUAUAAUAACAACAUUUCUAAUGAUGACUAGGAUUGAUUUUUUUUUUUUUUUUUUUUUUAAGUUUAUCAUCAAAUAAGUCAUGAUCUAUAUCAGCUUUCCUUUUGCCUCAUUUCACCACAAGGCUUGCUCAUUCUAGAGUUUAUAUAGAUUUCAGUAGUAAGCGGUGCUACCAUACAGUGAGAGGAACAGCACACUGCCAAUGUAUAUAAGAGGUUUCUUAGUGAGUAACCACUUUCUCGCAUCAACACAAAAUAAACUUUAUUUGGUAAGUUUAAGUGUUUGAGACAUUGUUAGCAGGCAUUGGUGAAUCUUGUAGUCUGUAAAAAACCAGCUGUUGUAAUUAGAAGCAAUUUAAAGAAAUAAGUUAAAGGACUCGUACUUUUAUGCUGUAUUAUUUUUAGUUUAGCCCUUAUACGUAGUGAGGAGAAUAAAUUUAAAGUAUA
rnacentral:misc_RNA from 1 species